rnacentral:rRNA from 1 species
GGUUACUGCUAUCGGUGUUCGCCUAAGCCUUGCGAGUCAUAUGUUCGUAAGAACAUGGCGUACUGCUCAGUAACACGUGGAUAACCUGCCCUUGGGUCCGGCAUAACCCCGGGAAACUGGGGAUAAUUCCGGAUAACGCACAUAUGCUGGAAUGCUUUAUGCGUAAAAUGGAUUCGUCUGCCCAAGGAUGGGUCUGCGGCCUAUCAGGUAGUAGUGGGUGUAAUGUACCUACUAGCCUACGACGGGUACGGGUUGUGAGAGCAAGAGCCCGGAGAUGGAUUCUGAGACAUGAAUCCAGGCCCUACGGGGCGCAGCAGGCGCGAAAACUUUACAAUGCGGGAAACCGUGAUAAGGGGACACCGAGUGCCAGCAUCCUAUGCUGGCUGUCCGGGUGUGUAAAAUACACCUGUCAGCAAGGGCCGGGCAAGACCGGUGCCAGCCGCCGCGGUAACACCGGCGGCCCGAGUGGUGAUCGUGAUUAUUGGGUCUAAAGGGUCCGUAGCCGGUUUGGUCAGUCCUCCGGGAAAUCUGACAGCUCAACUGUUAGGCUUUCGGAGGAUACUGCCAGACUUGGAACCGGGAGAGGUAAGAGGUACUACAGGGGUAGGAGUGAAAUCUUGUAAUCCCUGUGGGACCACCUGUGGCGAAGGCGUCUUACCAGAACGGGUUCGACGGUGGGGGACGAAAGCUGGGGGCACGAACCGGAUUAGAUACCCGGGUAGUCCCAGCCGUAAACGAUGCUCGCUAGGUGUCAGGCAUGGCGCGACCGUGUCUGGUGCCGCAGGGAAGCCGUGAAGCGAGCCACCUGGGAAGUACGGCCGCAAGGCUGAAACUUAA